rnacentral:lncRNA from 1 species
CAGCUCUCUCAGCCUGUCCUCAUAGAGGUGUUCCAUCUCUUGGAUCCUUUCUCUGGUCCUCCUCUGGACAUGUUCCAACAGGUCCACAUCUCUCAUAGGAAGCUGCCACUUCAUGGCAAGGAGCUGGUCUGAGCACUGUGUCCUCCACUGGCUGAACUAGGAAAAGGUUUGCAUCCACGGGCAGCAUGGUUUGGCAUGGAAAAGCACAGAUGGGCUCAGAAACUGUCUCCAAGCUGCUCUUGACAAGUAAAAUUGACAGCAGGACCUUGCAGUUAGAAGCCAGGCACAGGAACACGAGGUCAAGAGAAGUCAGCUGCACGAUUCCCUUUGAUUUCUAUGAGAUGAGAGUUACAGCUGGAAUUCUGGAUUCGGUUUCCACCUCUUCUCCAUACCUUCACUGUGCUUUCAGCAAGUGCAGCCAGGUACCCAGCUGCCUAAAUUCCAUAGCCUGAAAAUUUUGCUCAAGGGACUGCUGUUCACCAGGUCUGCAGCAUAUGCUUCCUUCAGCCCUUGUUCUGCACAGCAAAAGCAAACGGGAUCCCACUGAACGCCUUCCUGCCACCUCUAACUGAAACGCUCUGCAUACUUUUGCUCCCCAAAGUUUGUAUGGCUCAAAUAAAAUUGCUUACUUGAAAGUUAAGGUUUGUCAAUGAUUUCUGACUUUUUUUUUAAAGAAGGUAGUGGUGUUUGUUUCUUUUCCUUCUCCAUGAUCAUUCAAGUGUUGGUAAGGGGCAAACUUUGAGCACAAGUUUUAUAUUUCUCAGGAAAUGAAUGUAUUUCCCUUGCUUUUCUAAAAUAUCAUACUUUCAACUUUGAGUUAUUUAUCCAAAUAUUUCUAUUCCCCGCUGUAUUCUGAACGUUUGAUCUAUGUGAGGCAAUGCUCUGUUUAACCUUGCUUGUACUGAAAGCAAUAAAAUAUAAAAUGAAUAGGUGGAAAGGGAUAGUAAAUCCCCACUGAGAAAUUAUCUGGCAGUUUCUGAGUCAUGGGAAGAUAUCAACAAAGUGAAAUUUAUUUAAUAUUGAUGAAUGGGACAGUAAUGCACCUAGGGAGAAAUAACAGCAAUCAACACAGAUAUUUAGGAGACAUUAAUAUAGAAAAAGACCUUGGGGUUGAAGCGGAUAAUUAAGUGCAUAAGAGCUCACAUUGCAAAACAAGCAAUCGGUGUUCCAGAGCGUGCAGCGUCAAAAGAGAUGUGCCGUGCAGCAAAGUGAGGGAUAAGUGCGGCACAACUUAGCCUGAGUAAGACUGGAGCUGGGGUGGGGUAUGAAUUUUUCAGCCUCCUCUUUUUAAGAAGACACGGGAAAGUGGCAGAGAAGUAAAAGACGGGUAGUAGAAAUGACAAAGAGAGCUGCGGGCAUUGCGUGUGAAGGCGCGGCGGAAAGUAAUUCAUUCAGCAGGAGGGAGCAGCGCCAGCCCUCCUGUCUGUGUGCCGCACGAAUGGACUUUCCCUGCAGCAGCAAUGGUAAAAGGGUCUCAAAUUAAAAAUGGAACAACUCCAUUUAGAUACAAGAGAAAUGACUUAAUACUAAGGGCUGUUACAUGGGCAAUGGAGUAAGCUGUCUGGUGAGCAGCUGAACACAAGGCACCGUCAAUAGAAGGUUUCUGGGGUGAGACUGGAAAAAGUGCCGGUGGGAUUACUGCAGAAGAGGCUUCUCAGCAUGAGCAUGGCUAACACAAAGGUCCUUUGCUGUCAUUUUCAUCGACACUUCUGGGAUCUCAAAGGCUGUGCACAAUAAAAGAGACAAUAUGUCCAGAUUUUAAUGAAAUCCAUCUGCCACGCUCGGUGAGACUACAUGGUGACUGGGACGAGAGGUGCAGCCCUGCAAGCCUCACCUCUGUAUCCCAUCUGCUCUACAGGCUUUCACAGGAGUGGGCCCGGGAGCUGAAGA